rnacentral:lncRNA from 1 species
AAGUUCAAAUUGAAUAUUUUUUUCUGUUCUUAAGAUGAUAAAAGCAAAAUCAACCACCAUUCCUUCCACAAAAACGUUUUUUAAAUGGAGAUCAAUUUCAUAUUUCCUAGUCUUCCAACAGAGGUAUAUGGUCAAAUUGUUUAAAAUACUAUAGAGUAAAUUCUUGAAUUCUUUACCGAGUCAUAAUUGUCUUCUAGUAAUAAGACUAAAGGAUUGCUUAGUCACUGUUGAAUUUGAAACUUCAUAGAUCAUUCAGAAUUCUCAAAAUGUAAAUCAUGUAGCCUAAGUACUGAGGAAGUGAAAACCAGGAGUCAGGAGCAGAAUGUGUCUCAGGGGACAAAAUUUCUUCUGUUUGGCAAAACACCUUUUUAUUCGUUUUUGCUGAGGAACAGCCUUCAGGACAUUGUAUAGUUAUCCAGAAAUGACAAGGAAGUAUGGCUUUCCUGCCUAAGGAAUACUCCUAAAUUGGGAUAGUGGCUGGUAAAUGUAUUAAAGAAUCAAAGAAAGGAGAUCAGAGGAGGGAGAGAGAAAGCGCAGUGAAAUGGCAGGAACUAGAGCAUGAACAGAAACGAUAAGCAACAAAGCUUCUAGCGGGUGUGAGCAAACUUCCAGGCACUGAGAGGCUUCCUGCUUCUGCUCAUGUCCUUGCAUUUCUCGCACCUCCUCUCUGAUGCCUGAGCACCCUAUGAAGGGAAGUGUGAGGCCCGUGUUUGGGACAUAUGCUAUAGCCGCGAUGGCAGUAGUAUGUGGAUUUAUUUUUUCUGGUGCUUAGAUUCCCAGGGGAUCAUAGGAUUAUUUAACCAGAAAUAGUCUCUUUGGAGGUCUAGAUGCAGGAGGAAUAUGACCUGUUAAGAGACAGCUCAUUUCUGCUGUGGCUCUGUAGGUUUUACUAUGCAGAUGCAUCUGAUUGAGUGGUCAGGUUUGUUCUGGAAGUCAAUUUGGCUCCACUCACCAAGCUUUGCUACAGGACCUACGUGAACAUCUGUUGAGACUUUGGGACGUCUUUAUCUUAAUGUAUCUCAGCACACUGUGUGCUAAUCAUGGUCCUGCUCUUGUCAAUUCCUACCUUAGACCCAAAGAAAUAAUUUAAGGGGCCUGAACUGUAGAAUACCUGCUGAGCAAUUAACAGUGAAUGAGCUCCUGGGCUACACCACUAGGCUGGUUGGUGGUCUAUGAUAAACACAAUUGAUAUUACAAUAUUCUCUGCUUUCUCUCUGCCUCUUUUUCUCAAUAGCUAACUAGUUAUUGAUUUAGAUAGGUUGAUAAGUAACAUGUAAUAUGCAUAUAUAUAUGAUACAUAUGUAUGUAUUUAUGAUACAUGAUACACAUGGCACAGAAUACAAUAGUACAGAAGAAGACUAGCCCCUGCAAUUUUCUACCAAUAAUCCCACUUUCCAGAAGGAUAUUUAUGUUUGUCUGUAUUUCUUUUACAAAUUACUUAAAUGUCUUUAAAUCAUAACUAUAUACUCUGUAUCUCAAUUUAUCAACUUCAGACAAUAUUUUUUUGACACUCACCUAUGCAAAAUAACUGCUGUGCAAUUUUAUUAUCCUACUAAUCGUCCUCAUUCCUCUCAAUAUUUGAUAGAGGUGCACUUUAAAAAUUAUUCUCUUGGUUAAUCUUGCAUAUUUAUAUGACUCGUUUGACUUUGGUUUCCUUUCUAUCAAUUUGUACAGCAUACAGAGCACCACCUAUAUAUUAAAUGAGAAUACUGUGGUUCUUAAUUUUUUUUUUAGCACCUUUCUCUCUACUUACUAUCCUGUUAACUGCAAGCUCUAACUUUGCUUUUGUAUUUCCAAGUUUGUUAAAACUUAUAUUCUGCAUUUCUAUUACUUUUAAAUCAUCAGCACUUUGUUUUUUCAAGGCUCAGAAACUUUUGUAGCAAGGAUUUUGAAAAACAAUAGUGCCAUCUGUUUUCUCUCCAUGCCCUAAUAGCUGUCUUGGGCUUUCUUUAUCAUCAUGUACAUACACAGGCCCAAAAUUAUAAGGCAUAAUUGUAUGUUUAUAUGGACUAAAUAUUUAAAUAUGUAUAUCAUAUACACACACACAGACACAAAUUUCAUGCGCCAGACUUUUCCUUAAGCACAUAGAAAUAAAUUUAAUUGACAAAUCUAAUGCUCCCCAUAGUCCUAUUGAGGCUGGUACCUAUUAUUAUGCCUCUUUUAUUUAUGAAGUUAAUGAAUCUCCAAAAUUUAUUACAUGUUCAAUGGUACAUGACUUUUGAUUAGUAAUGACACUGAGAUUCAAACCCAGGGAUCUUAUUCCAAAUGCUGUGGUUUUAUUAAUAUACAAUAUUUCUAAGAACAAUUAAAUUUAGAUAUAGGUUAAGAUGUUUAUGGAUAUUUCACCAUAAAGAAUGAAAUUCAAGGAGUUCCCAUCAUGGCUCAGUGGAUUAAGACCCCAGCAUAGUGUCCAUGAGGAUAUGGGUUUGAUCCCUGCCUUGCUCAGUGGGUUAAGAGUCCAGCAUUGUUGGAAGCUGUUAUAGGUCAUAGAUGUGACUCGGAUCUGGCAUUGCCAUAGCUGUGGUGAGGCCAGCAGCUGCAGCUCUGAUUUAACCCUAGCUUGGAAACUUCCAUGUGCAGCAGGUGUGGCCAUUAAAAAAAAAAAAAACGCGAUUUGUGUGAGAUUAUAUAAUAUCUUGACAUACCGGAUGCCAACAAGAUAUAUUUUUAUUUUCAUGAUACGAGGGUAAAAUUAACCAAAAUGUAGUCAUUUUUCAGAUUUUUUCUGUACUCUUAAUUUCUUUAUCCUUCAUGUGAAAACAUAUACAUUGUCUUUUUUGCUGAGUCUUUGUUUUAAAAUGCCAUAUUCUUGUAGUAUCUUGUAAAAUUGAGGAAGCAGGUAUAUUUCCAACUAAGCUAUUUACUUUUUAAUUUGAGAGCCUUUUUAAAGAAAUACUUACACUUAAUAACUGAGAAAAAUCUUUUUUCCAAUUACUAGGCCAAUUACAAGUACAUUCUUAGUUUUUAGUUAGGAGUUAAAAUGAAACAUUAAUAAUUGUCAUAAAAUAUUCAAAAUGACAGCUAAAUCUAAACAUUAAUACCAGUUGAAAUACUAUUCAAUAUGGAAUGCUUAUGAAAUAAACUCAGUUCAGAUUAUGUUGUAGACCAUGUGUGCACAUGGUAUGCACUAUUCUAAGAUGAAACUCAGGAUCUCACACAUUUGUGUUAUUACAGCAUAAAUUGGGCCUGCAACCACUUCAAACCAUUUGCAGGAAAU